GAUGAACGCUGGCGGCGUGCCUAAUACAUGCAAGUCGAGCGAACGGACGAGAAGCUUGCUUCUCUGAUGUUAGCGGCGGACGGGUGAGUAACACGUGGAUAACCUACCUAUAAGACUGGGAUAACUUCGGGAAACCGUAGCUAAUACCGGAUAAUAUUUUGAACCGCAUGGUUCAAAAGUGAAAGACGGUCUUGCUGUCACUUAUAGAUGGAUCCGCGCUGCAUUAGCUAGUUGGUAAGGUACGGCUUACCAAGGCAACGAUGCAUAGCCGACCUGAGAGGGUGAUCGGCCACACUGGAACUGAGACACGGUCCAGACUCCUACGGGAGGCAGCAGUAGGGAAUCUUCCGCAAUGGGCGAAAGCCUGACGGAGCAACGCCGCGUGAGUGAUGAAGGUCUUCGGAUCGUAAAACUCUGUUAUUAGGGAAGAACAUAUGUGUAAGUAACUGUGCACAUCUUGACGGUACCUAAUCAGAAAGCCACGGCUAACUACGUG
rnacentral:rRNA from 1 species